rnacentral:rRNA from 1 species
UACGUAGGGUGCAAGCGUUGUCCGGAAUUAUUGGGCGUAAAGAGCUCGUAGGCGGUCUGCCGCGUCGGCUGUGAAAACCCGAGGCUCAACCUCGGGCCUGCAGUCGAUACGGGCAAACUAAAGUACUGCAGGGGAGACUGGAAUUCCUGGUGUAGCGGUGAAAUGCGCAGAUAUCAGGAGGAACACCGGUGGCGAAGGCGGGUCUCUGGGCAGUAACUGACGCUGAGGAGCGAAAGCGUGGGGAGCGAACAGG